UACGGAGGGUGCAAGCGUUAUCCGGAUUCACUGGGUUUAAAGGGUGUGUAGGCGGGUAUUUAAGUCAGUGGUGAAAUCUCCGGGCUCAACCCGGAAACUGCCAUUGAUACUAUUUAUCUUGAAUCUUGUUGAGGUAGGCGGAAUAUAUCAUGUAGCGGUGAAAUGCUUAGAUAUGAUAUAGAACACCGAUUGCGUAGGCAGCUUACUACACGAUCAUUGACGCUGAGGCACGAAAGCGUGGGGAGCAAACAGG
rnacentral:rRNA from 1 species